AUGAAUUUGUGGAUGGGGAAGGUACAGAGUAAGAAUGUUCCAGCCUAUGAUGGAGCAAUUUUUCUGUGCAACCACCUGACCAGGAAGGAGUGCUUUCACAGAAAGCUUUUUGGCCUUUCAUCUAAAUGUACUGAGUUUAUACAUAAAGUUAAAUCUGGCGCGACACUAUUCCUGUAUGAUGUUGAGCAGCGUAAGCUUCAUGGGGUGUUUGAAGCAACUUCAGAUGGAGCCAUGAAUAUCAUUCCUGAUGCAUAUGCCUCAUCAGGGUUUCAGUAUCCUUGUCAGAUACGCUUUAAGAGGAUUUGGUUUUGCAAGCCUUUGAUGGAAAGUGAAUUUGAAGAUGCAGUACAGGAUAAUUAUUACUUCGCAAGAAACAAGUUUAAUUACGGUUUGACACAUCAACAGGUUGUAAAGCUUCUUCACUUGUUUUCUUCAAGGAACAGAUUACAGCCUCGUCAAAAUCCAAGGUUACAGGUUGAACCUCCAAGGGAGUCUGACAUUUCUUCUGUGGUUAACCAAACUGAUAACCACUCCGGUUCAAAUAGUUCACAUGGUUCAUUGAAAAGCGCCUGUCAAACAUGUACCUCCUCCAGUGUUGGGGAACAUGCAGCAUCGCCGAGUCACAAGUUAUCUGAGCCUAUGUCAUUAAAGCACAGAGAGUUACAACUAGACAUCUCUGAUGUGGCUAAGUCCAACAGCUCAAGAUCUUCCUUGCACACUGCAGCAAAUACAGACGUUGUCACCGAACCUGGCACCCAAGAAGCAGUGGAUGACAAGUUUACUGAUGAUUAUAUACCACUACAGCUGGAGGAUGAUACUUCAGACGGUGUUGAUACUCUAUUUGAUUUGCUUGGAGAUGAGAGCCACUCUUCAGAAUCGAAAGGCAGUAGUGACUCUGAAGAGAACACAGCUUUCCACCAACCAUGUGUCAGGAAGAAAGAUGAUUGCCAUCAGCCCCUGGCAGAUUCAAAGCUUCGCGCUGACAUUGAAGGGCGAAAAAGCGUGUUUGCUCGGUUAAUGGGAAGACCUGAAUCUUUUGUUCAAAGACAGAAGUUCAAGACCAAACCAUUCCCAUCAAAGAAUGCUAAGUCUUUCAGUUCCCCUAAUCAGAGGAGAAAACGGCGGAGGGCACAGCAGAGCAAGUCCUUUCCAUGUGAUAAUCGUGCAACGUUGUGUAUGCCUUCAGCUCAUAAGAUGAUAAAAGGUCCAGCAUUGGACUAUUCAUUUGUCUGGGACGAUGACAGAAGAUCCAACAAGUUCUCUGGUGGAAAACCAAGCAACAUUCAGAGAGUCCUGUGGAAUGCAUCUACUAAAGAACCUGAUCGAUAUGGUGCAUGCAAAAGGCUGUUUGUUUCUGAAGGCAGUAAAAAAUUGAUCGGGUCCUCUGACAGAAUGUCAAAUAAACCCCCACUGUUUGCUGAAGUACAUGAGAGAUGCAAAGUCACUGUUGAAGAAAAAACCAGGACCCCUUUCUUGGAUUUUAAGCGGCAUGCUAAGGAUCUAAAUGUUGAAGGAGGAGAUCCAGAUUAUACGGCCGAUGUUGAGGAAGCAGCAACGAAGAAGACACGGUUAGCAAGUGCAUCUUACCAUGGAGACGAGGAUGAAAGUGAAACUGCAUUGGUUCCAAAACAAACCAGACCUAUGGACAUGCUGACAGUAUCAGAUGAGAACUGCAAACUCAAUAGCAUCAGUUUGUUAUCUAAUGACACAUGUACUCAGAUGGCUGGAGCUUAUCUCGAAACCGAAGUGCAACUGAAAGAUGAACAGCAAAGAAUCCAAGGCUGCCGUGAAGAUGUUACAGGUGAUACUGAGAACAUGCCGACAGUAUCAGAUGAGAACUGUAAACUCGAUAACAUCAGUUUGUCAUCUAAUGACAACUGUACUCAGAUGGCUGGAGCUUAUCGCGAAACCAAAAUGCAACUGCAAGAUGAACAGCAAAGGAGCGAAGGCUAUUGUGAAGAUGUCACAGGUGAAAAAUCAUCGCUCGGAGAUUCUGGAAAUGCACAGCUGUUUCGCAAGCUCAGUUUUGGUGACAUGCAGACCAUUGUUGAAACUGGCAUUGAGGUGGGUUUUGGCCAUGUGGACACUGAAACGUCCCUCCAAGAGAAACAAAACCAAAGUGGUAGGAGCUGCUAUGGAGUGGUUGAUACAGAUACAACGUUGAUCAUCGAAAAUCCUGAAACCAUGGAAUCCUUGCCCAACCAUGAUGAGGAUGGAACUUUUGAAAUGGUGGCAACUGAUCACCAGGACACCAGUACCCUCCCUCAGGGCAAAGAUGGUGAAGCUACAAACCAACUGACAGACUCUGAAGAUGAUAAAGAUAGUACCAACAACUUGUCGCCGAACAGACGUCGAAGCACUUCACCUCCUCGUGAUCUUGAGUUGAGCAAAGAAGAGGAGAUGCGAUACCAAAGUUACGGAACAAAACAUGGAGCAGCCCAUGAAAUCUCAGACUCCAGUGACUCAUUUGCGAUCUGCGCCGAGGGUUAUGGAAGCCAGAUUGGGAUGUCAACUGACAGCACCUCUAUUCAUCUGGUCAUCAACGAACUUGGAACAAACUCGGAGUCCAGGACAAGUUUCUUCGACGGCUCCUGUGACAAAGAAUCAAAUAAACACCCGCUGUUUGCUGAAGUACAUGAGAUCUGCAAAGUCACUGUUGAAGAAGAAAUCAGGAGCCCUUUCUUGGACUUUACACGGUGUGCCAAGGAUCCAAAUGUUGAAGGAGGAGAUCCUACUGCCGAUGUUCAGGAAAUAGCAACGAAGAAGAUGCGGUUAGCAAGUGCAUCUUACCAUGGAGAGGAGUAUGAAAGUGAAACUGCAUUGGUUCCAAAAGACACCAAACCUAUGGACAUGCUGACAGUAUCUGAUGAGAACUGUAAACUCAAGAGCAUCAGUCUGUCAUCUAAUGACACCAGUGCUCAGAUGGCUGGAGCUUAUCUCGAAACCGAAGUGCCACUGCACGAUGAACAGAAAAGGAUCCAAGACUGCUGUGAAGAUGUUACAGGUGAUACAGAGAACAUGCCGACAGUGUCAGAUGAGAACUGUAAACACACGAGCAUCCGUUUGUCAUCGAAUAACACAUGUACUCAGAUGGACGGAGCUUAUCUCGAAACCGAAGUGCAGCUGCAAGAUGAACAGCAAAGGAUCCAAAGCUACCGUGAAGCUUUUACCGGUGACACUGAGAAAAAGCUAACAGUAUCAGAUGAGAACUGUAAACUCAAUAUCAUCAGUUUGUCAUCUUAUGACACCUGUACUCAGAUGGCUGGAGCUUAUGUUGAAACCGAAGUGCAACUGCAGGAUGAACAGCAAAGGAUCAAAGGCAGCUGUGAAGAUGUCACAGGUGAUAAAUCAUCGGUUCUCGGAGAUUCGGGAGAUGCACACCUGUUUCGCAGGCUCAAUUUCGGUGACAUGGAGACCAUUGUUGAAACUGGCAGCAGGGUGGGUUUUGGCCAUGUGGACACUGAAACAUCCCUCAAAGAGAAACAAAACCAAAGUUCUAGGAGCUGCCAUGGAGUGGUUAAUACGGAUACAACGUUGAUCAUCGAAAAUCCUGAAACCAUGGAAUCCUUGCCCAGCCAUGAUGAGGAUGGAACUUUGGAAACGGUGGCUACUGAUCCUCAGGACACCGGCACCCUCCCUCAAGGCAAAGAUGGUGAAGCUACGAACCCACUGACAGGCUCUGAAGAUGAUGAAAAUACUACUUCCAACGCCCUGUCCCCGAACAGACGUCGAAGCAGUUCACCUCCUCAUGAUGUUGAGUUGAGCAAAGCAGAGGAGAUGCAGUACCAAAGUUACCAAGCCAAACAUAUAGCAGCUGCCCAUGAAAUGUCGGACUCGACGGACUCAUUUGUGGUCUGCGCCGAAGAUUACGGAAGCAAGAUUGGGAUGUCAACUAACAGCACCUCUGUUCAUCUGGUCAUCAACGAACUUGGAACAAACACGGAGUCCAUGACAAGUUUCUUCGACAGCUCUUGUGACAGAGAAUCAAAUAAACCCCUAUUUGCUGAAGUACAUGAGAGCUGCAAAGUCAUUGUUGAAGAAGAAAUCAGUACCCCUUUCCUGGACUUUAAGCGGCGUGCUAAGGAUCCAAAUGUUGAAGGAGGAGAUUCUGAUUAUACCGCCGAUGUUCAGGAAGCAGCAAGGAAGAAGACGCGGUUAGCAAGUGCAUCUUACCAUGGAGAGGAGUAUGAAAGUGAAACUGCAUUGGUUCCAAACGACACCAAACCUAUGGACAUGCUGACAGUAUCAGAUGAGAACUGUAAACUCAAGAGCAUCAGUUUGUCAUCUAAUGACAGAUGUACUCAGCUGGCUGGAGCUUAUCUUGAAACCAAAGUGCAGCUGCAAGAUGAACAGCAAAGGAUCCAAGGCUGCUGCGAAGAUGUUGCUGGCAAUACCGAGAACAUGCUGAAAGUAUCAGAUGAGAACUGUAAACUCAAUAGCAUCUGUUUGUUAUCUAAUGACACCUAUACUGAGAUGCCUGGAGCUUAUCUCGAAGCCGAAGAACAGCGAAGGAUCCAAGGCUGCUGCGAAGAUGUGACAGGUGAUAAAUCAUCGAUUCUCGGAGAUUCUGGAAAUGCAAACCUGUUUCACAGGCUUGGUCUCGGUGACAUGCAGGCCAUUGUUGAAACUGGCAGUGAGGCUGGUUUCGGCCAUGUGGACACUGAAACAUCCCUCCAAGAGAAGCAAAACCAAAGUGCUAGGAGCUGCUCUGGAGGGGUUAAUGCAGAUAAAAUGUUGAUUGUCGAAAACUCUGAAACCAUGGAAUCAUCGCCCAGCCAUGAUGAGGAUGGAACUUUGGAAAUGGUGGCUACUGAUCAUCAGGACACAAUUACCCUCAUGAUCCUUGGAAUCCCUCAGGGCAAAGAUGGUGAAGCUGCAAACCCACUGACAGGCUCUGAAGAUGAUGAAGGUACUACUAGCAACACCAUGUCACCGAACAGACGUCGAAGCAGCUCGCCUCCCCAUGAUCUUGAGUUGAGGAAAGCAGAGGAGAUGCGAUGCCAAAGUUACCAAACCAAAAAUGUGGCAGCUGCUCAUGAAAUGUCUGACUCCACGGACUCAUUUACGGUCUGCGGCAAGGGUUACGGAAGCAAGAGUGGGGUAUCAACUGACAGCACCUCUGUUCACCUUGUUGUCAACGAUUUCCUUGGCACAAACUCGGGGUCCAGGUCGAGCUUCUUCGACGGCUCCUCGAGCGAGCCUGCUGAGAUGAUCAUGCUCUCGCAUGACCCCGGCGUGGAGAUGGAACCGCACUGA
rnacentral:rRNA from 1 species